rnacentral:tRNA from 1 species
AGCAUGUUAGCUCAGGGGAAGAGCGGUAAUUUUUCACGUGACCUCCACUUAAUCGAGUUAUAAACUAACAUAAUCACAGCCGGGCUCAUAACCCGGAGGUACGAUUAUCCUUCAUCACAGCCAAUCACAAUCCGGUUCCUAACGAACAAUAGGUCCCUGGAUCGAAACCAGGACAUGCUA